AGUGGGGAAUAUUGGACAAUGGGCGAAAGCCUGAUCCAGCCAUGCCGCGUGUGUGAAGAAGGCCUUUUGGUUGUAAAGCACUUUAAGCGAGGAGGAGGCUACUUAGAUUAAUACUCUAGGAUAGUGGACGUUACUCGCAGAAUAAGCACCGGCUAACUCUGUGCCAGCAGCCGCGGUAAUACAGAGGGUGCGAGCGUUAAUCGGAUUUACUGGGCGUAAAGCGUGCGUAGGCGGCUUCUUAAGUCGGAUGUGAAAUCCCUGAGCUUAACUUAGGAAUUGCAUUCGAUACUGGGAAGCUAGAGUAUGGGAGAGGAUGGUAGAAUUCCAGGUGUAGCGGUGAAAUGCGUAGAGAUCUGGAGGAAUACCGAUGGCGAAGGCAGCCAUCUGGCCUAAUACUGACGCUGAGGUACGAAAGCAUGGGGAGCAAA
rnacentral:rRNA from 1 species